CCAUUGUUUAAACUGGAUUAUAGAAGCUUCUGAGCGUUAUAAACUACUAGUUAAACCUCAGUAAAACCUCGUCCUCGCAAUUCAUGCAGGAACAUUACAAUACAUAUAGACAGUUCAUAGGUUAGAAUGUUUUAGAGUUCAUAAUCGAGCGAUGAGGCUGCAAUCCGGGAAUAGUCUUCGGUUCAGAUAGCAGGAGUGAACAUCACCAGAACGCAUUCGAGUUUGUUGUUCGCCUUAAAAACAAAAGGAA